GGCUUAACACAUGCAAGUCGAGGGGCAGCAUGGUCUUAGCUUGCUAAGGCCGAUGGCGACCGGCGCACGGGUGAGUAACACGUAUCCAACCUGCCGUCUACUCUUGGACAGCCUUCUGAAAGGAAGAUUAAUACAAGAUGGCAUCAUGAGUCCACAUGUUCACAUGAUUAAAGGUAUUCCGGUAGACGAUGGGGAUGCGUUCCAUUAGAUAGUAGGCGGGGUAACGGCCCACCUAGUCUUCGAUGGAUAGGGGUUCUGAGAGGAAGGUCCCCCACAUUGGAACUGAGACACGGUCCAAACUCCUACGGGAGGCAGCAGUGAGGAAUAUUGGUCAAUGGGCGCAGGCCUGAACCAGCCAAGUAGCGUGAAGGAUGACUGCCCUAUGGGUUGUAAACUUCUUUUAUAAAGGAAUAAAGUCGGGUAUGCAUACCCGUUUGCAUGUACUUUAUGAAUAAGGAUCGGCUAACUCCGUGCCAGCAGCCGCGGUAAUACGGAGGAUCCGAGCGUUAUCCGGAUUUAUUGGGUUUAAAGGGAGCGUAGAUGGAUGUUUAAGUCAGUUGUGAAAGUUUGCGGCUCAACCGUAAAAUUGCAGUUGAUACUGGAUAUCUUGAGUGCAGUUGAGGCAGGCGGAAUUCGUGGUGUAGCGGUGAAAUGCUUAGAUAUCACGAAGAACUCCGAUUGCGAAGGCAGCCUGCUAAGCUGCAACUGACAUUGAGGCUCGAAAGUGUGGGUAUCAAACAGGAUUAGAUACCCUGGUAGUCCACACGGUAAACGAUGAAUACUCGCUGUUUGCGAUAUACAGCAAGCGGCCAAGCGAAAGCGUUAAGUAUUCCACCUGGGGAGUACGCCGGCAACGGUGAAACUCAAAGGAAUUGACGGGGGCCCGCACAAGCGGAGGAACAUGUGGUUUAAUUCGAUGAUACGCGAGGAACCUUACCCGGGCUUAAAUUGCAGAUGAAUUACGGUGAAAGCCGUAAGCCGCAAGGCAUCUGUGAAGGUGCUGCAUGGUUGUCGUCAGCUCGUGCCGUGAGGUGUCGGCUUAAGUGCCAUAACGAGCGCAACCCUUGUUGUCAGUUACUAACAGGUUCCGCUGAGGACUCUGACAAGACUGCCAUCGUAAGAUGUGAGGAAGGUGGGGAUGACGUCAAAUCAGCACGGCCCUUACGUCCGGGGCUACACACGUGUUACAAUGGGGGGUACAGAGGGCCGCUACCACGCGAGUGGAUGCCAAUCCCAAAAACCUCUCUCAGUUCGGACUGGAGUCUGCAACCCGACUCCACGAAGCUGGAUUCGCUAGUAAUCGCGCAUCAGCCACGGCGCGGUGAAUACGUUCCCGGGCCUUGUACACACCGCCCGUCAAGCCAUGGGAGCCGGGGGGUACCUGAAGUGCGUAACCGCGAGGAGCGCCCUAGGGUAAAACUGGUGACUGGGGCUAAGUAG
rnacentral:rRNA from 1 species